rnacentral:rRNA from 1 species
AGCUCGCCAGUUUUGGAUGCAGUUCCCAGGUUGAGCCCGGGGCUUAACCCCGGGUGUGCAGUGGGUACGGGCAGACUAGAGUGCAGUAGGGGAGACUGGAAUUCCUGGUGUAGCGGUGGAAUGCGCAGAUAUCAGGAGGAACACCGAUGGCGAAGGCAGGUCUCUGGGCUGUUACUGACGCUGAGGAGCGAAAGCAUGGGUCGACGCGGCCG